rnacentral:rRNA from 1 species
AGUUGUGUUGAUAGCUCAGUGGACACACCCAAACCCAUCCCGAACUUGGAAGUUAAGCACUGAAACGCCGAAAAUAGUGUAUGCGAAGAUAGGAAAAUGCAACUA